GACGAACGCUGGCGGCGUGCUUAAUACAUGCAAGUCGAACGGACAGGCCCUGCUCUUGUGGGGCGCUCGAUUGGCGAACGGGUGAGUAACACGUGAGUAACCUGCCCCUGACUUUGGGAUAACUUCAGGAAACUGGGGCUAAUACCGGAUAGGAUCUCCUGCUGCACGGUGGGGGUUGGAAAGUUUCGGCGGUUGGGGAUGGACUCGAGGCUUAUCAGCUUGUUGGUGGGGUAGUGGCUUACCAAGGGUUUGACGGGUAGCCGGCCUGAGAGGGUGACCGGCCACAUUGGGACUGAGAUACGGCCCAGACUCCUACGGGAGGCAGCAGUGGAGAAUAUUGCACAAUGGGCGGAAGCCUGAUGCAGCAACGCCGCGUGCGGGAUGACGGCCUUCGGGUUGUAAACCGCUUUCGCCUGUGACGAAGCGUGAGUGACGGUAAUGGGUAAGGAAGCCCCGGCUAACUACGUG
rnacentral:rRNA from 1 species